rnacentral:lncRNA from 1 species
AAAGGCAUUAGCCCCUCUGCUGUUCAUCUUCUGUUCCGCCUGUACCCUUCGUAUACAUCCUACCUUUUAUGUGUCCAGAGUUACACGCAUGUCUCACAGCCCUUUGUCUCCUGUUUCCAGGCCCACCCCUCUCCCCCGUCUCAUAGACGGCCAACCGGCGUACACUGUGAGGAGUAUCCUGAAGGUUCGACCUCGGGGCAGGGGGUUCCAGAACCUGGUUAACUGGGAGGGUUAUGACCCAGAGGAGAGUUGCUGGGUCCCCGCCAAGGACAUCCUGGACCCAGGCCUCAUCGCGGAUUUCCAACACCAACAUCCCGGUCAACCAGGUGUCACCCAUCUUCCCCAUGAUCCCCUGUGUAUUUAUACCUGUGUUCUCUGUCUGAGCCUGCCUGCCGUCCUGUUCCUUUGCACCACCUUUUUGGAUUGCUGAUCUUUACCUGCCCUGACCGUGAGCCUGCAUGCUGUCCUGUACCUUUGCCCCACCUAUCUGGAUUACCGACCUCUGCCUGCCCUUGACCUGCUUUUUGCCUGCCCCUGUUGGAUUAAUAAACUGUUGUUAUUUCAACGUUGUCUGCAUCUGGGUCUUACCUGAAACGUGAUACCAUGGCUAAAUAUGUGGUAGCUUCAAGUUGUGUAUUUACGGUCUUUAAUGUAUUGUGUUGUCGUCAACUCCAAUUUGAUUGUUAGUCCGUUAUAGCCUCAUUUGUUAAAUAGCCUGCCCUAUAUUUACUAUGUUGAACUUGUUUGCAGUCCACAUUGUUCUAAUUGCAUUGCUUCAAUAUGGAAAUACAUUAUUAAACAUAGGCUAUAGGGGCUACGCCUACUGUAAAUUGUAGUCUGGACAUGGACAUGCCAAACGUAGUCAAUACGCAAGAUUCAAUUCACUAAGGCCGAAAAAGACAGUGUAUAAUUCAAAACAAAUUCCAAUAAAAAUGAAAGCAACAACUUGUUUUAAAUAGGCUAUGUCCGAAUACAGUUACAGGCACCAAAAUUGCUCCCCGUGGGCGUAUAAUACGGACAGGGCAACUUAGAAUAUGAAGGGUUUUACACACACCCAAACUAUAUGGACUAUAUACAUUUACGGUGGGGCAACGCAAUGAGAUUUCAAUUUACAUAAUAUGUACAUUAACUUUUCAGUUUACAUUACAUCCUUGCCUUACCUUUCAUUGUGGUUGGCAAUGUGACAUUGUUGCUCUGCAGCUCCAAAUUUACCGUUAAUAUCAGUAUCACAGUAGCCACUGACUAGCAAGUAAGCUUGCAAACUAAUCAACAAUGAAAGUAUCUUUUCCUCUAAAACACAUUAUAUAAUAUUGGAGGUGUGUCCUUAAAAACAAGCGCAAAAGUGACCAUUUGAUCCAGUGCUAAUGGUAAGUUUUAAGACCCACAAAAAGUAGAUCUUAAUGGUAAUUCAGUUAUUAAUGGCAUGGAUUUUGACAGCGGAAGUGCAAAACAACGAUUACUAACCUAGAUUUGGAUGAGGAUUUCUAAUUCAACAAAUCAGAGGCAAAGAGAAUAAUGCUCAUCCCAAACCCGGCCCAAAUUCCCAUCACUCGGAGGAGGCGGAGGCAGCGCUAUAGUGGUAGGCGUGCGCGAUAUCUAAAAAGACUGCAACGGUGAGUGGAUAAAUUAACAUUAUCCUCCGUUCUAUUGACGGACAUGCAAUCACUGGAAAAUAAACUCGAUGAGCUUCGUUCGAGACUAUCCUAUCAACGUGAUCUGAAGAACUGUAAUAUCCUAUUUUUCAAGAGUCGUGGCUGAACAAGGACAUGGAAAAUAUAAAUAUAGCUGUUUUUUCUAUACAUCGGCAGGACAGAACAGUUGCGUCUGGUAACCUGAAGGGGGGGGGUGUGGCUACUUGAUAACAACAGCUGGUGCGCGAUCUCUAUUAUUAAAUAAAGAUGUGUUAGACAGGAUUACCUAGACAUAGUGACCAGCUCAAAUAGAUAGAAGUGUGCUAUAUGGCAGACCAAUCCAAACUCAUCUCUCGGCAUUUCCAGCCCACUCAUCUCAACCAAUCAUUGCUAGCGGGAAGGUUGCUGACUUUUUCUGUGGCUAAACCAACUAUGCUCGUAAUUUAACCAUUUUUUAACAAUUUCGUAUUUACAGAUGCCAUACAAGUUUGUUAUUAAGGCACAUGAAAGUUCACAUGUUCGAGAAGGCCUUUCUGCCAAAAAACGUAUUUAGAUUUUUUUUUUAAAGUUUAUGUUCAAAUGGCUCUCCUAUGAAGUACCUGCGACAUACACCUAAUUUCCUGAAACGGGUCACAUUUAGUAAAUAUUUUCUUAACUCUAUUUUCAUAAAACUGCAUUGUUGGUUAAGGGCUUGAAAGUAAGCAUUUCACAGUAAGGUCUAGUAGACCUGUUCUAUUCCGCGCAUAAAAAAAUAACAUUUGAUUUGAUUUGCAGUCAGGCUUAUAGACAAAUCAUGAACAUUAUGGAUAUUAAGUUAGAUGAUGUACCUCCUUAUAUUAACGGAUUAUUGACCAUUUAGUCAAAUAGACUCUUGGAUCCAUGAAUCGAUGCUUCCAUCCAUUCCCACUGAGAUCUGGGAGAGAGAGCAUAUUGACUGGGAGAGAGAGCGAACAGACACAGAGCAUCAGCUCCUGAGUUCUUCUGCAAAAAUAUAGAAUUAGAGUUGGAUAAAUGUAGAUAAACUUGAUUUUUUUGCAAGGACUAAUACAGAAUACUGACCUCAACAUCAAAACCUUCAUUCCAAUUCACAAUUCUAUACCUAAAACCUUGAUUUUGGACAAAAUUACCUGAAUGCACUAUUACUACCAAGGACUAUCAAGAAAAAAACUUCUAACAAGCCAAGACCUGCAGAAGAAUCACAGCAGAACCUGUAAAUACCAUCCAAAACAAAAUUGAGUGAGUAAUGUUGUCUAAACCUACUUUCUGAAGCCAAAAAGUAAAAUACAAUAAUCUCUUGGUAAUUUUCUUAUAUAAAGCUUAAUAAAUAAGGCUACUAAGCU